rnacentral:tRNA from 1 species
GCCCGGGUGGCGGAAAUGGCAGACGCGGCCCGCUUAAACCGGGUUGCCUUUAUGGCGUGUGGGUUCGAAUCCCAUCCCGGGUA